rnacentral:rRNA from 1 species
CAGCAGCCGCGGUAAUACGUAGGGUGCGAGCGUUAAUCGGAAUUACUGGGCGUAAAGCGUGCGCAGGCGGUUCGUUAAGACAGAUGUGAAAUCCCCGGGCUUAACCUGGGAACUGCAUUUGUGACUGGCGAGCUAGAGUAUGGCAGAGGGGGGUAGAAUUCCACGUGUAGCAGUGAAAUGCGUAGAGAUGUGGAGGAAUACCGAUGGCGAAGGCAGCCCCCUGGGCCAAUACUGACGCUCAUGCACGAAGGCGUGGGGAGCAAACAGGAUUAGAUACCCCAGUAGUCCCUGUCUCUUAUAC